CGCGUAGGCGGUUCGUCAAGUCCUGUGUGAAAGCCCCCGGCUCAACCGGGGAACGGCGCGGGAUACUAGCGGGCUUGAGUUCGGGAGAGGGAAGCGGAAUUCCGGGUGUAGCGGUGAAAUGCGCAGAUAUCCGGAGGAACACCGGUGGCGAAGGCGGCUUCCUGGACCGACGCUGACGCUGAGGCGCGAAAGCUAGGGGAGCAAACG
rnacentral:rRNA from 1 species